ACUUUGAGAACUAUGAAGCUGUUCUGUCAUUAGUGCUUGUCAUCAACAACCACUGGAACUUUCUGUACAUUAAUGCUAAAACCAGUACAGUAUUCCUGAUGGAUCCAGCCCCCAUGUCAUCUGAGUUGGAGGACUCUAAACGGGCUGCUAAAAGAAUACAGGAAUACUUCAGGAUGAGAAGGACAUGCCACAGCAAAACAGACUGGGUGGAUGUAAAGUGGAAAGGGGGAGUUAUGUGCCACCCAGUUCAAAAAGACGGAAGCAGCUGUGGUGUGAUUGUUGUUUAGGAGUGUUGUGUGGCUAGAUGGCAAACGCUGUGAUGGAGGCCUUCCCUCUGAUGCCAGAUGUUAAAUUUGAAACAUCAAAAACGCACAUUACAAGGGAGAGGAGAGAUCUAGCUCUCCAACUCCUAGAAGCAUCAGUCUUUGAUGAGCACUCGUGUUGUGCUAUGUGUGCAGCCUUAAGGCCUCCGGGAUCUGGACCCCCCAUUACAGACUGGGUCCAGUGUGAUGGCUGUGAACGGUGGUUCCAUGCUCAGUGUGUGGAAAUGGACAGCACACAAUAUGAAGAGGCAAAGAAAGGAAACUGGGAAUGUCCGUUGUGUAAAUAAAGUGUUUCUUUGAAAUCUGCUCAAUGCU